rnacentral:rRNA from 1 species
AGCGAACGCUGGCGGCAGGCCUAAAACAUGCAAGUCGAACGCCCCGCAAGGGGAGUGGCGCACGGGUGAGUAACGCGUGGGAACGUGCCCCUUAGUACGGGACAACGUCGGGAAACUGACGCUAAUACCGUAUAAUAUCUCCGGAUCAAAGAUUUAUCGCUGAGGGAGCGGCCCGCGUCUGAUUAGCUAGUUGGUGAGGUAAAGGCUCACCAAGGCUACGAUCAGUAGCAGGUCUGAGAGGAUGAUCUGCCACACUGGGGCUGAGACACGGCCCAGACUCCUACGGGAGGCAGCAGUUAGGAAUAUUGGACAAUGGGGGGAACCCUGAUCCAGCCAUGCCGCGUGUGUGAUGAAGGCCCUAGGGUUGUAAAGCACUUUCGUUGGGGAUGAUAAUGACCGUACCCAAAGAAGAAGCCACGGCUAAAUUCGUGCCAGCCGCCGCUGUAA